UACGUAGGGUGCGAGCGUUGUCCGGAAUUAUUGGGCGUAAAGAGCUCGUAGGCGGUGUGUCGCGUCGGCCGUGAAAACCUGCAGCUUAACUGUGGGCUUGCGGUCGAUACGGGCAUCACUGGAGUUCGGCAGGGGAGACUGGAAUUCCUGGUGUAGCGGUGAAAUGCGCAGAUAUCAGGAGGAACACCGGUGGCGAAGGCGGGUCUCUGGGCCGAUACUG
rnacentral:rRNA from 1 species